GAUAGUCUUUCGCCCCAUGCGCAGAUUUGACGAUCGAUUUGCACGUCAGAACCGCUGCGAGCCUCCACCAGAGUUUCCUCUGGCUUCACCCUAUCCACGCAUAGUUCACCAUCUUUCGGGUCCGAACAGUUAUGCUCUUACUCAAAUCCAUCCGAAGACAUCAGGAUCGGUCGAUGAUGCACCCGUAAGGGCUCUCACCUCCGUUCACUUUCAUUACGCUUGAGGGUUUAACACCCAAAAACUCGCAUAAAUGUUCGACUCCUUGGUCCGUGUUUCAAGACGGGUGGCUGAUGACCAUUAUGCCAGCAUCCUAGCCGAAGCGCGGUCCUCAGUCCCAGCGGCGGUAUUACACAGCAGGCUAUAACACUCCCGGGGGAGUCACGUUCCUGAAGUCUUUAUCCCGCCGCCGAAACUGAUGCUGGCCUCAACCAAGCGGAGUGCACCGGUGAGAACACCGGAUGAUCCGCAAGGCAAAGGUCUGGUCACAAGCCCUUCCCUUUCAACAAUUUCACGUACUAUUUAACCCUCUUUUCAAAGUGCUUUUCAUCUUUCGAUCACUCUACUUGUGCGCUAUCGGUCUCUGGCCGGUAUUUAGCUUUAGAAGAAAUUUACCUCCCAUUUAGAGCAGCAUUCCCAAACUACUCGACUCGUCGAAGGAGAUUUACAGAGGCUCGGCAUCCAACCGUACGGGGCUCUCACCCUCUAAGGCGUCCUGUUCCAAGGAACUCGGAAGGUACCUAACCAAAAUCAUCCUCUACAAAUUACAACUCGGACCCGAGGGCCAGAUUUCAAAUUUGAGCUGUUGCCGCUUCACUCGCCGUUACUAGGGCAUCCCUGU
rnacentral:rRNA from 1 species